UAGCCUGAAGUGAUGAGUGUAGUUCAUGUCUCUUCUCUGAGAUGUAUACUGGAGAUACUCCAAWGACUCUGAUCAGGCAG
rnacentral:snoRNA from 1 species